CAGCAGCCGCGGGAAUACGAAGGGGGCUAGCGUUGUUCGGAUUUACUGGGCGUAAAGGGCGCGUAGGCGGACUGAUAAGUCAGGGGUGAAAUCCCAAGGCUCAACCUUGGAACUGCCUUUGAUACUGUUUGUCUUGAGUUCGAGAGAGGUAAGUGGAACUGCGAGUGUAGAGGUGAAAUUCGUAGAUAUUCGCAAGAACACCAGUGGCGAAGGCGGCUUACUGGCUCGAAACUGACGCUGAGGCGCGAGAGCGUGGGGAGCAAACAGGAUUAGAUACCCGGGUAGUCCCUGUCUCUUAUAC
rnacentral:rRNA from 1 species